rnacentral:lncRNA from 1 species
CACAUUCAUAGUUCACAUGAUUCUUUGUCAAUUCAUAUGUUCUCUAACAUAUAAUCGAAUCCCAACCAAUUACUCAUUUCACUACCCUAUAUGCAUGAAUACUACAAUAUCAAGAUGCUCAAUUAAGAUAACAUAGACAUAGAAGGAAAUUCGGUCUUGUAGGGAUACAGGGAGGCCGCGAUCCUGAUUUCACAAUUUUUAGACACCUACGCCGCGAGCUGCGGCAAUAUGUACCAAAUUAGCUUGUUUCUUCAAUAUCUCCGCGCACGCUCGUCGUAUCGCCGAACCGAGUGCACUAACGUGUUCGUUGACCUACCAAUUAGGUUAGAAUGAGAUCAAACCCA